GACGAACGCUGGCGGCGUGCUUAAUACAUGCAAGUCGAGCGCUGACGGAUGGUACUUGUGCCAACUGGGUGAGCAGCGAACGGGUGAGUAACGCGUGGGGAAUCUGCCUUUGAGUGGGGGACAAUAUCUGGAAACGAAUGAUAAUACCGCAUAAAAACUUCAAACACAGGAUGCAAGGUUGAAAGAUGCCAUUGCAUCACUAAAAGACGAUCCCGCGUUGUAUUAGCUAGUUGGUGAGGUAAAGGCGCACCAAGGCGAGGAUACAUAGCCGACCUGAGAGGGUGAGCGGCCACAUUGGGACUGUGACACGGGCCAAACUCCCACAGGAGGGAGCGGUAGGGGAACUUUGGGAAUGGGCGAGAGACUGUGCGCGCGACGCCGCGCGAGUGUAGAGGGGUGUCGGGUCGUAUAACUCUGUUUGUAGGGAAAAAAGUUGGUGAGAGUGGAACGCUGAUCAAGUGACGGUAACUACACAGAAAGCAACGGCUAACUACGUG
rnacentral:rRNA from 1 species